CAACAAAUGCCAGCAGUACAAAUUCAUUAGUAUAUUAAAAGGAUAAGCCUCUAUGACCAAGUAGGAUUUCUCUUAGGAAUGCAAGGACAAUUCAACAUAUGAAAAUUAGUCAACAUCAAUGGAAUGUACUACAGCAACACAAUAAAGGAAAAAUUAACACAUGAUCAUCUCAUCUGAUGCAGAAAAAAACAUUUAACAGAAUUCAAAACCUUUCGUAAUAAAAACACUCAACAAACUAGGAAUUGGAAGAAGAAAAAAAUCUACCUCAACAUAAUCAAAGCCAUCAUGAAAAAUCAAAAGUGAACAUGACACCAAAUGAUUAAAGAUGGAAAGCUUUUUCUGUAAGGUCAGGAACAAGGAAAGUUUAUGUGCUUUUGCCAUUCUUUUCAACAUAGGAAAUUGUAGCCAGAGCAGUUAGGCAAGAAAGAAAUAAAUGGCAUCCAAUUUGUAAACGAAAAAGUUAAAUCAUCUCAGUUCACAAAUGGUGUGCUCUUACAUAUAAAAACCCUAAAGAUUUCACAAAUUCAGGAAAGUAGAAGGAUACAAAGUCAAUACACAAAUGUACAUUAUUUCUGUUCACUAGUAAUGAAUAAUCCCAAAGAAAAUUGAGAAAACAAUUCUACUUAACAAUUGCACCAAAAUAAAAUACUUAGGGAUUAACCAAGAAAGUUAAAUGCUUGUACAAUGAAAGCUACAAAAUACCGAAAUGAAGUACAGACAUAAAUGGAAAAACAUCUUGACUUAAUUUUGUUGACCCCCCAAAAAAACAUUCUACAAAUUUAAUGCAAUUAUUAUAAAAUAUAAGAGAGGACUCCUAAAAUUCAGCAAAAAAACCAAAAAACAAAGAAUUGAAUUCAAAGAUGGCCAAAAUACUUGAAUAGACAUUUCUCCAAAGAUGUAUGUAUAGCCAAUACACAUAUUAAAAGAUAUUCAACAUCACUAAUCAUUAUGGAAAUAUAAAUCAAAACUAUGAUAAUAUACCACCUCACACAUUUAGAUGGCUUAUUUAAACAAAAUGACAAAUAUCACCAAGUAUAUGGAUAAAUUCAACUUUUCUCACUUGAACUUUUCUAAUUUGAACUGUUCUGAUUUGAACUAAAUUAGAACUUUUCUGCACUAUGAUGGGAAUGUAAAAUGGCACAGCCAAUGAGAAGAAUAGAAUGGCAACUCCUCAAUAAAUUAAAAAUAGAAUUACCAUAUUAUCCAGCAAGCACACUUCUGGGUUUGCACCUCAAAGAACUGAAAGCAAGAUAUUGAAGAGGUGUUUGUACACUUAUGUUCAUAGUAACAUUCACAAUAGCCAAAAUGUGAAAGCAACCUAGGUAUAUAUUCACAGAUAACUCCAAAAACAAAAGGUGGUAUAUAGAUACAAUGGAAAAUUAUUCAGACUUAGGAAAAUCUGACAAAUGCUACAACAUGGGAUCCAAGCUGUAUUUGCGACCUACACCACAGCUCACAGCAACUUCCAGAUCCUUAAUCCACUGAGCAAGGCCAGGGAUCGAACCAAUAUCCUCGUGGAUACUAGUCGGGUUCGUUAACCACUGAACCAUGACAGGAACUCCUCUAUCUAGAUUUUGAAGUCUGAAAAGCAAGUGAGGUCUAUAAGCAUUGGAAAUGUUUGAGUCUCAAGAGUAAUUUUUUUUUUUUCUGGUGAAUUCACUCAUCAAAUAGUGGCUACAUAAAAUCAGUCAUGGCUCUGGAUAAGAUAUAAUAUAGAAUUGCAGUGCUAAAGAACAGAAGAAAUAGAUGAUCAAUACACUUUGAAAUGCUUCCUUUAGAAAUACUGAUUUUUUUUAAUCCUAGCCAGAAAAAUAUAUAUGUAUAUAAAUCUGAAUUCCCCAGUUUGGAAAGUUCCACAGUAGCCAGGUUUCCAAAUUUUCAUUUCUUUCUGUUUAGUUCUUUAUUGUACCAGUCAAGUGUUGUCAAAUACCAGGGAUUAACUUUUGGAAAAAAAAAUUAGAAACAAAGGGAAAAUUUUUAAUUUUCCAUCCUUGAUUAUUAAAAUUUUAUAAUUUUAAACUAUAAUAAAUAGUUUAAUGAUAGCUGUACUUUAAAAAAAAGGGGGCAGAGACAAAAUUAGUAGCCCCUUGCAUUCUCAGUCUAUGGCUGAAAAUUUUUAGUCAGAAGUCAAAGUCAGAUAUUUGAUCCAACAUUUUUAGAGAUGCUGAAUUCUUUAGAGAAUCCCAAAAGUGUACCAGUUUUACAUUUAUAGGCAUUGAAGAUAUUAGAGUCAUGGGAGUAUGAUCCAUUGUGAGUCUGGAAAUGUAAAUUCAGGAAUCUCUGCUUUCAAAGAUAAUUGCUAGAUUCUGAAGACCUGAUAUGAUCUUGUCCAAUGAAGUUCAAGAGCAUUCUUACAUUGUUUCUGAGGUUUUCCUUUGGUAAAGCUGCCUAGUCCUGCUGAUCAUAAAUUGCUAUAUAUUGAUCAUAAAAUAAACCUUUAAAAUAUGAUAGUCAGUUAUUGGACAUGUAAUUGUUAGUCUCACCAGGUAAGAGUUAAGAAAAUGAUGACCUAUGGUUUCUAGUCAGUGAAUUUUUAAUAGUCAAGGAAAUUAAGGAUGACAUUUUAGGUCAUGGCAGUUAAUCCUUCAAAUAAUUUUCCAAGCUUUAUUUGUUCUUUUAUCUUUGACUACUGCUAGAGGAUGAUAAAGACAAUGGAGUUUCUGGAUGAUGAGAGAUACCAUGUACAGCUCUUGUAAAAUAGGCACCUCUAUCUCUGACAAAAAGUUUGGUAAUGCACCAAGUUGAAAAUACAAAGUCUAGGAGGCUGGUCGUUGCUUGUUUUUGUUUUGUUUUGUUUUCUUUUUUUUGGUUUGCUAGUUGUUAGUAAAUAUAUUCAUUUGAAGGAGACAAUUGCAAAACUCCAUUUGUAAAUUUCAAAAUAAACCUUGAGGAUUUAGUUCUUGCUCAUUCUUAUCUUUUGCAGGUUGUACCUGAAUCAUACUAAGCAGUUUUGAGUAAAAUUUUCCUGGCUCUAUGAUUAUGAUAUGCCAACCAAUUUAUCUUUGCUGCAGUGGUCAAACUGAAUAGUUACGUUAAUAAACUACAUUAUUAAGUAUUUUAAUAAAUUCUUAUAAUAAAGUUUACUCUGGGAGUGAGAAUAUUAUAAAUUGUAUAGACAUAGACAAGCCCCUAUAGCAAUUUGAUUUACACUAAAAAUCAAACCUAUCACCAUGAUUGUACCUAUAGUCAUGUAUACUGAAUUUUAGACAAAAAAAAUCAUUUUGAUAUAGUUAUUAUGCAUGUCUUUAUGCUUAUAAAUGAGUCUAUUUUAAUCUGAGGACUUCAUCAUAUUUUGGAGGGGGAACACAAUUCAACCCAUAAGAGUCCGCUCUAUACCUUUCCCAAAAGUUAUGUCUUUCCCAUGUGCAAAAUACAUUUACUCCAUUAUGACAUUCUCAAAAAUUUUAACCCAUUUCAAUUUAACUCAAUAUACAAAAAUUUCAUCUAAAUAUAAUCAACUCAAACUCAUCUAAAUCAGAUAUGGGUGAGACACUGGGUAUGGUCCAUCUGGAUACAAAAUUUCUCGUCAUUUAUGAACUUGUGAUAUUAGAAAACAAGUUAUAUGCUUAUAAAAUACAACAUUGGCAUACUCAUUGGAUAGAUAUUUUCAUUCCAAAAGAUAGAAAUAAGAAGAAAAGGACACUCAGAUUCCAAGCAAGUCUUAAAACCAGCAGGACUCAUUGCAAGGCUUGGGAAGAAUCCUACGUGGCUCAAUUCUCUGUCCUAUAGGCUCUUGGCCCACGAUGGUGUCAGUCUUCCCCUCUUUGCCCCAGGAAGUACUAUCAGCACUGCCUCCUUCAUCAGUGGUCUGCCCUCAGGGUUUUUGUUUGUUUGUUUGUUUGUUUUGUCUUUUUAGGGCUGCACCUGCCCUGGAAGUUCCUAGGCUAGGGGUCGAAUUGGAGCUAUAGCUGCUGGCUUGUGGGCUUGCGCAGUAGCCACAGCAAUACCAGAUCCUUAAUCGACUGAGCAAGGCCAGAGAAUGAACCUGCAUUCUGAUGGAUACUAGUUAGAUUCGUCAUCACUAAGCCACACGAGAACUCCCCUCAAAAUCAUUCUUUAUUCUUUUCAUCCCAUCCCUGUGCUUAUCAGGCCAGUCUGGCAGUAUUUCUUCUGGCACAGUUCUCAAUUACCUUGUCAGUCUCCUGUGCAAUUCUUAAGAGUUCAGAUCAUCAAACAGGAAAGUUCUUCAUAUAUCUUUCUGAUUAAUGACAUCUAUAUUCCUUAAUCCUCUGUGAGAGUUGAUUUGAUCCACAAGUCAUAUAAUCUGUCUCAUUAGCAAUGAUUGUCCAGCCACAUUCUUAGGCCUAUGUCCAGAGCAUCCUAUCUGGACAGGAUGUGAAUUUUCCAACUAUCAAGUGCUUGCUUCUUUUUUUAUGAGUAGCAAUUCAUUUCUCAACUUGUUUCUUAUCUCUUGCAAUUUUACCAUAAACAGCAAGGAGAAUCCAGGUGGUACAGAACACAAUUUUCAGGCAAGCAUCCUUGGCUAAAUAUCCAAGAUCAUCAACCAUAAGUUUUACUUUCCACAAAAUAAUGGAGCAUAAUUCAGCCAAGUUCUUUGCCACUUGGUUCUAAGAAUCACCUUUCCUCCAGUUUCCAAAAACAUAGUCCUUAUUUCCAUCUGAGACAUCACCAGAAGUACCCUUACUGUCCAUAUCUCUAGUAGCACUCCAUUCGUGACAAUGUAUGUGCUUGUCUAAGAAAUGGAAACUUUGUAUGCAUUGCUCCUUACUUCUUUCUGAUUCCUCCUCAGAAUUUUCUUUGAUGGCCACAUUUCUAUCAACAAUUUCUUCAAGGAAAUCUGGCUUUUACUAUUAAAACCUGAACAACUACAUACAAUUAAUUUAUAUAAAUUUCAAAUACAGAGAAAACCAAAAUAUGUAUUAAUCUGUUAGAAAUCAUAAUAGUUGAUGGCGUUCCCAUCGUGGCACAGUGGGAACAAAUCCGACUAGGAACCACGACGUUGCGGGUUUGAUCCCUGGCCUUGUUCAGUGAGUUAAGUAUCUGACCUUGCUUUGAGCUGAAGUGUAGGUCGCAGACAUGGCUCGGAUCCCGAGUUGCUGUGGCUCUGGUGUAGGCCGGCAGCUACGUCUGCUAUUAGACCUCUUGCCUGGGAACCUCCAUAUGCUGCAGGUG
rnacentral:lncRNA from 1 species